UCACAACUCACGAGUAAGCAAAUUGUAUACGUAGGAAUUCAAUUCUGAUCAAUUUUCUUGAGAGUUAAAUAUUAGCUGGAAUAAGAUCAGGCCCAAUUUGAAAGUUCUCAUCUCAUUUUCUUGUAUCAUCUAAUUUGCAAAGUGAUUUGCAUGUCAUCUUGAAUAUAUUGCCUACUGAUUUAACAGAAAAUUAGAAAGAAAAGGAAAAUAUAAAACUAGUACAGUUUCUCCUUAUAGGAUAAUAAGACAUUCAUGUUCAGCGCUUCUUUAACAGUCAUGAAUGUUCAUUAUAAUUAACUUCUAUAUGAAUAUAUUAUGCAACAAGCAAUUCGUUUAUUCAAGACAAAAGAGAAUGACAAAAGCAAACAUAAUCUUUCUGCUGAUAUAUAUAUAUAUCCAUAGAAAUUAAUUUAAACCACAUAUACAAAAAUUAUUUUAUUCUCCCAAACUAUAUAAAAAAGAUUCUGCUGCCAAAGUUAAGCUAAAAUAUGAAACCAGAUAAUUAACACAUAAAAUCUAUCACAUAUAUAUAUGGUAACUUCUAAAUUGACACAUAAAACACUUUCAUAAUUAUCAUUUUAAAUUUUGAAUUGAAACAAAAUCACAAACAAAAAACCUAUAAAAAAAAUUCAAAAUUAAAUUCAACAACAACAAAAAAAUGAAUAAUUCUAACAAUCAGAGAGACAAGAUUCGCUAUCACUACUACACCAAGAAUCAGCACCAAAACUUCCAGCAUUUUCUAAAAAAUCGGUAACCAUAUUAGCCAAAUCAUGUUCACUNNNNNNNNNNNNNNNNNNNNNNNNNNNNNNNAACGACGUCGUUUUCACCCCACCAUGUUCCCAUUGCUGCAGCGUUUCACAAAAAUUUGAACACCGCAGGAAUUCCAAGAAUUAAGAAUUAAGAAUUGAAAAAUGAAAAAUGAAAAAUGAAAAAAAUAGAAUGAAUGAAUUUAAUUCGAUUAUUAUUAGAGUAAUGAUUAUUAAUGUGAAUUAGGCUAUUAUUAUUAUUUUAUUAUAUAUUGAUUGUAUAAGAAUUUGGUAAUGAUGAAGAAAUUGGAAGCGAUCUGUUCGUGGAAGAUGACAAGUAUAAAUGGUUGGAGAUGAGGUGGAAUGACGAAGAUACCCUUUUGGGAAUGGCUUGACUUGGAUGAUAAGUUUAUGUUUUUGUCGCUUUAUUGGUUGGCGUGUUUGAGGAUAAGAACAGAGUGCUAAAUUAUUAA
rnacentral:lncRNA from 1 species